CUUCCUGCACGUCGCCAGAUUGUUUCAUCACUAUACUAUUGCCGUAUGGACUGUGCAGCUUGGUGUUUGCUACUGCCCUGCCUGCCUGUGGAUUUUGCUUGCAAGCCGUCUGCUCUCCUGUGUUUCCCUGCCAAGUGAGUACACUUGAGAAGAUGGACCCCACCACGCCUCGCUGCACCACAACAUCUGCACUCUCAUCACUCCUGGUGAUUCUACAAGACCCUGGAACCUCGCACCACCCCUUACUCUUCUCAGUGGUUUCACAUUGCUGAACAUUAAAAGUCUUGUUAUUCACUGUCA